UACGAAGGGGGCUAGCGUUGCUCGGAAUUACUGGGCGUAAAGCGCGUGUAGGCGGUCCGGUAAGUCCGCUGUGAAAGUCGGGGGCUUAACCCUCGGAUGCCGGUGGAUACUGUCGGGCUUGAGUACGGAAGAGGCGAGUGGAAUUCCUGGUGUAGCGGUGAAAUGCGCAGAUAUCAGGAGGAACACCAAUUGCGAAGGCAGCUCGCUGGGACGUUACUGACGCUGAGACGCGAAAGCGUGGGGAGCAAACAGG
rnacentral:rRNA from 1 species